rnacentral:sRNA from 1 species
GCUGGGCACAGUGGCGUGUGCCUGUAAUCCCAGCACCUUGGGAGGCUGACACAGGAGGAUUGCGAGUUGAAAGCCUCAGCAAUGGCGAAGUGCUAAGCAAGUUAGUGAGACCCUGUCUCUA